UUUUUAAGGAGGGCACAGCUUACAGUGCCCCAUGCGGGGAUCGAACCAGCAACCCUGGUGCCAUCAGCAGCACUCUCUAACCAACUGAGCCAACCGGCCACCCCUUGAGGACAUUUCUUAAUUGAAAUAUUUACUGAGUUCCAACUAUGGGCAAGUGCUCGUGUUACGGAUAGUAGAGGGAAUACAGAGAAGCAAAAGAAAUAUCCCUAGGAAGAAGUUUGUCCCUACUAAGAAGGAAUUCGCUUUUACAAAUAAAGUAACUAAACUGCAGAGAAAAAGCUGGCCAGUAAUACUAAAGACUUCAGAUUGGCAAACGCAAGCCCUUCCAAUAAACAACUCCCUUCAUCUUGAAAACGGAGGUGACACAUUCCGCAGCAUUCAACAACUAAGAUUCAACAGGCCCUUCUAGACUCUGAGGUCGGAGGCAGAGCCUGGGUGUCCAAGGCAACGCCCCCUGAAGUGGGUGUGAAGAGUCAGCCACACAGCUCUGGAGCCAUUCCACACCACUGGGGAGGUCCCAGGCUGGAGGCUUUCCAAGCUGUUGCAGGAUGGACUUCACCGCUGCCUUUUUAACCUACAGCAACUCAGGCUGCUGCCUCAGCCUCUCCAAAUUCAAAGGCCUUUUGAGUGAAACGGUUCCCCACAAUCCAUGGGUCUUUUAGAUGCUUCAUGCUUUCUUUCAUGCUUUCACCCAACAAUUACUGAGCACAUGCUACCUUCCUGAACUUCCUGGCUGGCACCUGAAGGGGAUUGUGGCUGGUGGCCAUUUGCUUGGAUGUGGGACCUCCAGCUCCUGAAACAGACAUCUUGUUGGUUUUUCUUCUUUAUCUGGGAGAAAGCCCAGAGCUGUCUCACAGCUGUGUGUCACCCCUGCUUUCUUUGCAGCUAUCUCGAGGGUUGCGAGAGGCUCAGUCUCCUUAUGUCAAGAUUUCCAAUAUGUUAACUAAUAAAGAUGCCAA